rnacentral:tRNA from 3 species
GUUUUAAUAGCUUAACGGUUAAAGCAGUACACUGUUAAUGUAUUGAUACUAGUUCGAUUCUAGUUUAAAACG